rnacentral:lncRNA from 1 species
AACUUUGUGCUGGAAAUUUAAAUCUAAGAUGAAGUUGUCCUGUACUUAACAGGAAAGGUUUACAUGUUAAAGUGAAAAUGAGGGAAUGUGUGAGGAUGAAUCUCACUGAAAAAUUCUAAAUUCAUCACAUUUUCUUUUCAGUCUGUUUAAAGCCAUGAAAUUUAUGGGUUCUUUCUCCAUGUAUAGAUUUUUAGAAUACUUAAAAUUGCAAAAAUAGGAUGGUAGCAAAAGGAAGGAGGAAUUCUUUUUUCCCAUUAUAGAUGACUUAUGCUUCUUAUGGUUCCAUCAUAGAAUUGAUGAUACUAGCUGUUCUAAAGCUCUUCAAUGUAUCAAUAGACAUUGUUAUUUUAAUGGUUAAAGCUCUUCAAUAAACAAAUUUAUUUUUAUUAUUUGUCUAGUAUUGUAGAAACCAUUGUAUCAUGGAAGCAAUAAUAUCAAAGAAACUCUAUAGCAGAGAAAAUACUUUGCAUUCUUUCUAUUCAUGCCAAUUUUUUUCAAUUACUGCCUGGAUGCUAGGAUUGGUUCAUAUCUCAAGUAUCCAUGUUGCAUAUACAUUCUAUAUUGAGCAAGACUUGCAUCUGAUUCUUUCUUUAUUAUCAGUCAGAUAGUUUGGAGCAACUGAUCUGCAGAUGGCUAGUCAACUUUGACUGGUAAUUCUGCUAGUUAUGAAUUUCUAUUAGAUUUCUCAUUCAUUAAACUUUGUGUUUGGAAAAGAGAGUAGAAAUUACAAUGGAUAUAGUAGAGAAUCUUAAGUUGCAUAGUGAUCUAUUGAUAAAGAAAACUGGGGUACACCCGUGGUGGCAACCCACUUCUUUUUGGAGGGUAUUCCGAGUUCAAAACUCAGGAGGUGUUUUCCCUUGUUUUUGUCUUUGGUAACUUUCACAUCAUUUCUCUGAGAUGAUUGGUGGUGCCCCCGCCAUUAUUCUCAAAGGAGAAAAACAAAGAAAAACGAACACAUUGUUAAAUUUAUUUUCUUCUAUUCCAUUUUCUAUAUUAUGAGUCAUUGUGAUUAGGUUGAAAGCACUUUUCAAAUUAUAUAUCUUACUCUCUCUAUGUUUCAUGUGUGGCUAAUAUAUUGAGACAGUGAGGAUUAUAGUUUUAAAUUUGCCGAAAAUAUCACUAUAUCAAAGCUAUAUAAUAACAUUUUGUUACUUUUACAUAUUAUUAUCCAUGAAUUUAUUGCUCUGCAGCCAGCAUUAUUUUUCUGUUCAUAUGUUAUGCUCAACUUUCAAUUGGUUUUAGAUUUUUGGCUUAUUCUAUAUGCGGAAAUGAGUUCAGCUCUUCUUUACUUGGUGCCUUUUCUUCUUAACAAGACUGCAGAUAACUAUUUUCCAGCUAGACUUAUUGUAGUCCAUUUAUUGAUAAACUUGACACAUAGGCUAACAAUUGUCUGCAGGGUGCUGUAGGUUUGAGGAUGAGAGUCUAUGAUCGUAUAAUAUGCUUCGUGAACUGUCAUUUUGCUGCACAUUUGGAAGCUGUCAGCCGGCGGAAUGCUGACUUUAAUCAUGUUUAUCAAACAAUGGCAUUCAGCCGGCCAUCUGUUGGACCUCAUGGAGCUGCAGGUUUGGUACUGAACUCGUCUGCAGGCUCAUAUCAUACAUGAUUGAUUUACAUAUAAAACAUGUCUAUUCAUGCACUCAGACACAAACUUUGCAGCUUUACGGUAAUAUACUCAUGUUUGUUGCAUGUGGUGCAGCUGGUGCUACGUCUGUUCAAUUGCAUCGUGGAGUAAUUGUAUGUACUAGAUCUUGUAGUUUUUGUAUGAUUCUUUAAAUAAAGAUUCUCUUAAGCUUGUAUGACAAUAGCUAGGUAAUGACAGGCCACAGGAUCUCAAUCUGAUAAUGAAAAACCUGAGUUAUCAGAAGCAGACAUGGUUGUAUUUCUUGGUGAUUUCAAUUAUCGCCUUUUUGGUAUCAGUUAUGAUGAAGCAAGGGACAUGGUUUCACAAAGAUGUUUUGACUGGCUUAGAGAUAAGGAUCAGCUUAGAGCAGAAAUGAAAGCAGGCAAAGUUUUUCAAGGAAUGCGUGAAGGGCAAAUCAAGUUUCCUCCCACAUACAAGUUUGAAAGGCACCAAGCAGGUCUUUCAGGUAAGUCUAUUCAUAAUAUAUUCUUCAUAAAUUAAGGUCUGUUCAUUAUUCAACAUUCACUGAUAUAAAGAAGGUACAUGGGCCUAAAUAAGCUCAUCGAUGCUAUAUAAGUUAUGAAUUCUUUCGAGACACAUAUACAACAGGCAUUGACAUUUAAGUUACAUAUCAAUUGCAUUGAAGGAUAUGAUUCCAGUGAGAAGAAGCGAAUUCCUGCUUGGUGUGACAGAAUACUAUAUCGUGAUAGCCGUUCUAUUUCAGUUGCUGAAUGCUCAUUAGAGUGUCCUAUAGUUUCUUCAAUUACAAUGUAAGUUUAUAUUUUCUAGCAAUAGUUUUAACAUAAAAUGUACACAGAUUGUCAAUUCUUAUGGCAUCUUCAUUUAUCAGGUACGAAGCUUGCAUGGAUGUAACAGACAGUGAUCACAAACCUGUCAGGUGCAUAUUCAGUGUUGAAAUUGCUCAUGUAGAUGAAUUGAUAAGGAGACAAGAAUAUGGUGAAAUAAUUGCAUCAAAUGAGAAAAUAAGGUCUUUACUUGAAGAAUUUUCUGAAGUUCCAGAAACUAUUGUUAGCACAAACAAUAUAAUCCUGCAAAACCAUGAUACUUCCAUCCUUCGAAUCACUAACAAAUGUGAGAAAAACAAAGCUAUCUUUGAAAUCAUUUGUGAAGGCCAGUCCACCAAAAAGGAUGAUGGAAAUUCAUCGAAACUUUCUGCAAGAGCUUCCUUUGGCUUUCCACUAUGGCUUGAGGUAUGCUUUUCUGAUUCAUAAAAUUAAAAUAACUCAAUUCCAUAUCAUGCUUUAUGAAUAUUUAUUUUUGCUCUAAUUCAUUGUUUGGCCUCAAAUACUCACAAUCCAUUAGUAGGAUACUCCUUUUGCACCAUCACAAAGUGGCACCACCAUAUAUUCUACUAGCAGGUUGAAAAAAAAAUCAAAAUGUUAGCUAGUGGAGGAAAUUGGACCUUAUGUAUAAAUGAUCAUAGGGGGUCCUGCAUCACCAAUUCAAUAAUAUAGGCCAUAGUGAUGAGAGUUAAGAAAAAUGAUUGGUGGUUGAAAAAGUGGUUGCUAGGAUGUUCUAGGCUGCUUUCUGGGCCUUAGUUGGCCUCCAUAAACUAUACAUACAACCAAGAAUUUCUAAACCGGCACCGGAGGUCAUAUCGGCCGGCGAUCGGUUCGGCAUGGCAUGGAACUGUAUUGUGCCAUUCUUGGGCGUAUCGAAACAGGAAGUGCUGGAGAGGAAGAGGGAGAGGGAGAAUGAGAGAAAUGAAGAGAGAAAGAGGAAGGGAGAGGGAGAGGAAGGGAGGGAGAGAGAGGAGAGGAAGGGAGGGAGAGGUAGGGGGAGAGAGAGGGGGGAGAGAGCGAGAGGCCGAGAGAGGGAGAGAGAGGGAGAAGCUAUUGUCAUCAUUAGGAAGGAGAGAGUGAGUGAGAGAGAGAGACUUACCUGGGAGGCCUCGUAGGCGGUGGCGGCGGUGGCGAGCCAGUAAAGGAUGGAUGUCAUUAGGGUUUUGAGGGAGGGAGAGAGGCGAAUCCGCAAAUCAAAUGCUAGGUUGUUGGGGCAAGGAUGACUUAUUAGCAAACUGAAUCGCUAUAUCGAACUGUGUCGAUAGCUGAUCGGUCCAGUUCGGUAUGCCCUGUACUAGCCAGUUCGGUAUAGAAUCUUUAGGCACAUAUCUAAUGGAAUGUACAUGAGAAGUCAGAUUUUGCAUCUCAUGAGUAUAAAAAGCCUCUGCCCUUGUCAUGCACAUAAACAUCACAGUAUUUUCUUCAUAGUUGUACCUGUUUGGAAUUGGCCCCUUAAUCAUUUUGAUAUUUAGAUGCCUUUCAGUUUCAUAAAAAGCCUCUUCCCUUGUGAUGAAUAUAAAAAGCCCCUUAAUCAACUAUUCCAAGCCUUCAGCAUCAUCCUAGUAGUUCUUGAAAUUCCACUCAUGCCAUCUAUGAGCUUAAACAAGUUCCUCAAUCUUGGUUAAUUGCUUUUAUUGUGUGGUCCUUGUUGCUGGAUCCAUUCAGGACUACCCUGACCAUGCUCACUACAUCUAACCUAAUUCUUUGGCAUUGCAAUGCAGUUUACUUGACUGGCAUUUAUUGCUAGUAAUGAUGCUUCCAUCAUUACUUGUCUAGGGCAGCAUCACUAGUGUCAAUUUGAGAUGGAGGACCUCUAGAGCUUUUGCUAUUUUUAAGUCUUGAUGUUUCCUUCUCUCUUCUAUGGUGCUUGUAGCAAAACAAGUAUAGUCAUAGGGAAAUAGUUGCAUGCACUUCACUGACAAUUUUGUUUAUUAUGCUCUGGUAGGGAAAUAGCAAAAAUGUUGUAUUAGUACAAUAUGU